rnacentral:lncRNA from 1 species
CGACAGGCAGCGAGGAGGAAGAUCAUUGGCUUCUCUUAGGGCCUGUGGCUGGAGGGAAAGUCAAGUUCAGUGCAACAACUGUGACAUAAGGAAUCAGUAGAGUCCAUUUCUCUCUGUGAGGAAUCUUCAGGAACUUAACCACUACAAUAUGUACUGACAUAGUCAGACGUUAACAACGAUGUACUAAUGGCGAAGGGAAAAAAGCAGCGGUUCCUGGUCAAAUCUCCUCUAGAAACUCGAAGAAAGGGAAGGGGCAGGUGGUUUUGUUGGUCUUGUUUUGUUUUGCUUGGCAUGGCUUAAGAGCUGCUCCUUCUGGAGGAAGUGGCCUUGGGCGGCCCAAGCGCUGUGUUACUGGGCUGCGGGCCGGUACUUGGGAAGAAGUCCUCCGCAGUUCAGCAUCCCAGGAUGCAUCUAGCAGAUUUGCUGCCUCAUUUGAGGACUCAGGACACACAGGUCCCUCCACUGCUGUCAGCACAGCUCACCCACACCUGCUACACACCUGUCACUCCUGCAGCACCAACACCCCCCAGAGGAGCCUCCCAGGGGAGAAAAUGGAACCACCAACAGGUUCUCCUAUGAGAGCGUGGAUCCAGAGAAUAUCCCUGAGCUUAUUUCAAAUAUUAGUUCCAAAGGGCUAGAACUGCAGGGCUUAGAACAAUCAAUAUAAAGAUCGUGUUAAAAUCUACUGGAAAAUAUGAUUCAAAUUGCAAAAGCUGAAUUUUCAUAUUCUGCUUAUCAAGAGUGUAUUCAGGGAAUCAU